CACACGACUCUCGGCAACGGAUAUCUCGGCUCUCGCAUCGAUGAAGAACGUAGCGAAAUGCGAUACCUGGUGUGAAUUGCAGAAUCCCGUGAACCAUCGAGUCUUUGAACGCAAGUUGCGCCCGAGGCCACUCGGUCGAGGGCACGCCUGCUUGGGCGUCACGCC
rnacentral:rRNA from 1 species